UAUUUUUUCAUUGACCACUAUAAAUAGCUGAUGAUUAUAUUCAUAUUCCACUUCAAUACACUCUUAGUUGAUCAAUGAUGAAAACUAGGAGUUUCGUGUUUGUAUUAUUACUUUGUGCACAAGUUAUUAUUUCUGUUAUGACAAUUGAUUCAUCCAAAGAAGGGAAACAAUUUGGUGCAACAAAAGAAUCCAAAACCAAAUUUGGGAUAGAUGCAUGGAGAUUUACCAACUGGAGAAGUGGGUCAAAACCAGGAUAUGAAGAAGCCAAAAAAGCUGCAAAGGGUUCAAUUGUAUCGGGCUCAAGAGGAAAUGGUGCUGAAGGAGGUGCACAAGGAGAAGUUGUAAAAAAUGUUGGUGAAAAAGAAAUUGAAAGUGGAGAAAAUAAUUAAAAUUAUGUCGUAGGUUAAGCAUAUUGGUGGAAUUGAGAUUUAGGGUUUUCUUUUCUCAAACCCAUCCUCCCCCCCUCCAUCUUUUCAUCGCUACCAGGGUUCUGUUUUGUUCAAUAGGAUAUUUCCAACGUUUGAACAAUUGUUGAAGUUAUUAAGUGACAUUGAAGAGAAAAUUGAAGAAGAUUCAAGGACACUGAGGAGUAUGUUAUCUUCAUCUACACAAGUGUGAUAUCCAAAUUAAGUCUUUCCUUUUGAACUUCAUACCAAGUACUUCACUCUUCACUUCAAUGGCGCCUACAAAAUCCACUACGUACGAACGCAUGCGACUCGAAAACAUUUGCCGCAAUAAUGAAAUUAUGGUCGCGCUCAAAGUCCAAUCUAAAGCCUAUGAACUCCAUACCAAUUUUGUUGCUGUGGUUCUAUAUCUAUGGGUGAGCAUGAACAUAGGAUGGUGGCAACUACAGGAGUCAAGCCUACUAUGGAGGAGGUAUUUGCUAAAUGUCAUAUUAGAAAGGAUAAGUCUUGGGUUGAUAGAAGAGCUGAGGACACCUAUGUAAAUUUUAAAAAGAGAAAAACUGAACUUUUUGAGAUGUCUUUGCCUCAAAAUCAAGAUGGAGAAGGAUUGUGUUGUGAGAGUCGGCAUAAUAUGCCAGAUGACAUCACUAUUUGGAAUGAAGUAGUUCCUAAAGGUAAAAAAUGAACAUUAUAUGGUUUAGGUUCUAUAGGAACAAAAGCUUGUUCAAAGUUUACUAUUGGUUCAUGCUCAAAUUCCUUUAAGGAAACAAACAUAGAACAAGAGCUAAUAAAAUGGAAAGAAAAGGCAAAAGAGCAAGAAAUUAUAAAUCAAGAGCAAAAACAUAAACUAGAGCAGCAACAAAAAUGAAUUGAGUCAACGGAAAACAUGGUUGCUGCAAUAUUUGGAAAGUUUAAUAUGCCAUUGCCCCCAAACUUUGCUUGUGCAACACUUAGGAAGAUGAACAGAAUGACUUUAAGUAACUCUAGUAGUAUUAUUGUUGUUUUGUGUUGACAUAUUGUUGAACCCUUUUAUGACUUUAGUUAGUGUACGGUAUCUUAGAAGACUCACGUAAAUUUGUCACUCAUGUUGGUUUCUAAUAUUUUGUGCUUGAACAUUGAGUAAUUAUAUGAAUAUGGUUUGUAUGCUUUUGUACUAGAGAAGAUGAACAUUUGAUUACUCUUGAGU